AACGAACGCUGGCGGCAGGCUUAACACAUGCAAGUCGAACGGAUCCUUCGGGAUCAGUGGCAGACGGGUGAGUAACGCGUGGGAACCUACCCUGGGGUGGGGAAUAACCUUGGGAAACCGAGGCUAAUACCGCAUACGCCCUAUUGGGGAAAGACUAUGUUGCCCUGGGAUGGGCCCGCGUCCGAUUAGCUAGUUGGUGGGGUAAUGGCCUACCAAGGCUGCGAUCGGUAGCUGGUCUGAGAGGAUGAUCAGCCACACUGGGACUGAGACACGGCCCAGACUCCUACGGGAGGCAGCAGUGGGGAAUAUUGGACAAUGGGGGCAACCCUGAUCCAGCCAUGCCGCGUGAGUGAAGAAGGCCUUAGGGUUGUAAAGCUCUUUCACCCGUGACGAUGAUGACGGUAGCGGGAGAAGAAGCCCCGGCUAAUUCCGUGCCAGCAGCCGCG
rnacentral:rRNA from 1 species